CGGCGGGGCUCUCGGGCUGGCGGACUCGGGGGCUGAGGCGCCGUGCGCGUUGGGUGCCCGCGGCCGCAGAGGCCAGAACCGCUACUCCUCCAGGCCGGGGAGACGCGGCCGUGGAGCGUGAAACGCUUCUUGCAAGCGAGGAAACGGUCAGCAGUUCUAGAAGAAUCUUUCUGGACAAAAGACCUGGAGUUGGCACUUUUGGCUGCCACUCAACAUUGAAUGGCCUCUAGCUGUGACCCAUCUUGGGACAAGAAAAUAAACUAAGGAGACGCAACACCUGCUGUUAGCUGAACCUGCUGACCAGGCUCCGUCUCCUCAAAGUUUUGGGGGAGCAGAGAAGAUGGUAUGAGCAGAACUUCUUUCUCUUGGAUCAGCUCCUAGGUUUGUUCUAGUGCCUGAAGAGAACAGGUUGCAGUAUCUCCAACUGCAAAGCAGGUGCGUGGAGCCACAUUCCUUCUGUUGAGCAAAGCCCUUCAGAGGGGCCCACGGGCAGGUGAGUCCUCCUCCCUUAACACAAUAUCACAGACAGUCCAGCCUCCAAGCCUCAAAGGGCAGAGCAAAAGGGCCAAAGAGGAGAUGGCAGGCACAGCCUGGACUGUCUGAGAUUUCAGAUCCGCAGAGGAAAAGUUGGCAAGCGUCGGGACCAACAUUCUUCUACCAUUAACACUCACCUAGGAAUAAUAUCUAUAUUUUGGGCUGGCACUUCAGGUUUACUGUCUCGUAUAAUCUCAACAACCUGGGAGGUAGAUGCAUUCAUAUUCUUAUUUUGCAGAUGAGGCAAUUGAUCCUCCGACAGGUUGAGGAGCACCUGCAAGGUCUCAGACAGGUGGUAAGUAUCAGAAAGAGAGGGUUUAAAUGCAGAUUCGGUCUGAUUCUGCAGGAGAUCUCAUACCUGAACAGGUGAGUCAUCGUCACGUUUCAGGAGCAACCACCAGGGCAUGCUGAACUUCCUAAGGCAGUAGGGUGACCAGCUGCCUUGGUUUGCCGGAGACUGGGGGUUUCCCAGGACACAAGACUUGCAAUGCUAAAACUGGGAAAGUUCUGGACAGACUGGGACAAGCUGGUUCCCUUAUCUGGAAGUGAGAAUAAAACAUAAGCUACUAAGAGUGCUGUGACUUUAAACUGUAAAAUCAAAAUAAGUAGCAAACCAGUGGUUUGUGGGUAGGAUGUGAGUCUCUGGCGAGUUUCUUUUUAACUGCAUGGAGUUCCUAAGGCAUUUUACACAGAUUGCAUUUGAAAUGCCAGAGUUGUUGCAUAGAAAGUUGGACCUCGGGCUUUCAAAAAAUAGAAAGAGCAGGUCUUGGAAGGCUACAGUCCCAGCAAGGGUGAUGGCUCCUUUCGUAAUUCUCAGUUCCUGCUGGCCAACCUUAUUCAUUAGACCAUGGGCUUGGCUCUUGGAGACAGUCAAUGUUUUCCGUAGAGAAUAUUACCCCGCAGUGGCCAGGAAGCAAAUGCCAAUAGAUCUCCAAAAUAUUUGAUCAUACCAAUGGAUUGCCUAGAAUAUCCUGUGGUCUUUCUGUUGCCUUUGAGAGAACGUCAUGGAAUACCAGGUGGGGGUGGGGCAGGUGAGCUCAGGGUAGCAAGGAUUCUGACAUAGCAAAGGGAAAUUCUGUAUGGGACAGACUCAAAGGUCCCAGAUGCCCUCUCAAAUGAAGAUGGCAAUAUUCCAAAUAUUCAUUGAUCCAUAAGCAUCUCACGGCAGGUAUAAGAUCUGGGAGAACUCAUCUUAUUCCAUCCCCAGGAAACAAACAUCCCUUCUUGGGCAAUGUCUCCAGGCCACGCUUCUCAUCCGCAGAGCAGGUGCCUGUUCUCCCCGGGCCAUCUGACAGGGGAGAUAGAAAAUCUGCAAGAGAAAGCUCACAGCACGGGGCUGAGCCCUGGAGGGGAAGCACAGAGGCCUGUAUUCUAAUUCACUGAUGAUCAAUUUGCAAGUUCUUUUUCUCUUAGUUCCCUUAGUUUCCUUCCAGGUAAUGCAGAAUUCCUUGAAGCUUCUCUAGGUUGUUUUACUUUGCAAUCUUUGGUCAGAAGGUCUUUCUCAUGUUAACAGGUGAGUUAAGGUAAGAGCCCCAGACUCCUGGGCUUCCCCCAGCCCACUCCAUGAUCCCAAAAGAGAUUCCACUGGGGGAUACAGUUUGAAUCACCUGAACUAGACAAUUAUUACAGCUUCUCUUCCAGGUUGAAUAUUUCAGGGUCCCUUGCCAAACAGGGGAAGAUCUUGUUAAACCAAAAUCCCAAAUAGAUUUCAAAUAUGCUGGAAGUUUACAUGACCCUAAAGACUGCUCUCCAUGAGAGACUCAGGGGCUGGGGUAGUACCUUCUAAAUUUCCAUGGGAAAAUGAACAUGCUCCAGCAAGAGCUUGGGAAAAGAAGAUAGUCCCUAAGUUUUAUUGUUUGAAAUUUGUCACUCAAGGAUGUGAACGUGUCGCUGACAAUUAUGUAGCAUCUCAGAGCUCAGAAAGCACUUUUGCAUCGAUUAUUUCAUUUCUUGUUCGUGCCAAUUGUGUGAGGUGGACAACGUUAUGUUCAUAUGAGAAAUGCAGCCCAGAGAGGCUCAAACCCAGCACUUUUAACUCCCAAUCUCCCUCUUUUCUCAGUACCAUGUGGUAAGUCUUUAUUAACCAGAGUGUCCAAUUAACCAGAACAUGCCUGUGUCUUAGGGAUCAUCCCAGACUGAUUUUCUUUGCAGAAAACCCCAGGGAGCCACAGCCUUUCCUGCACCUCCUUUUGUUAGCUGUAUGUUUUUUUAGCGGCCCAGUGAGGCCUGCAUUUCAGAGCCUGUGUUGCAAAGCUCAUUGCUGUGGAGGAGACGGUUAUGGGCUGGGGCCUGGGUCUUCCGCCCCUUCCUGGCAGACCAGGAGCUUCAGUUGCUCUCUGUGAAGUUCUUCUUUGCAGGAGCCUGACACAGACGACAGCCCCAGGUAAUCCCUAUUCUUCAAGACCAAGCCAGGGAAAAUCUUCCAGAUGUUCUUGCUACUCACCCCGACCUUGCGGUCUUACCCUUCUGGCUGAACAAGAGACAAACAGCUCCUCUCCACUUGGCUGUGUGCGGCUUAACGAAUGCGUAUGAAGACCGUAUAAAUAAUUCACAUCACUCAAGAGGUGGCGAGCUGAACAAGUCCCUUCUGGUUACAUUUAUUUCAAGAUAAGGUGAAACUAAGUGAGUGAUGGCCCAGUUACAGAGGCCAGGGUCCAAAGGGGAUUGGGACACUCUAAGUUACACCACCAGAGUGAUUUGUGCAGAACUGUGUCAACUUAGAGAUCCUGGCACCUUGGGGGAAAGGGAAAUGUCUUAUCUCUAAGAAAAGUGAUACAGGAUGAGUAUUUUCCAAGUACAGCCUAUAAGCUAAUUCUGCAGAAUCAAUUUGGCUCUGCCAGGAACCAAGUUUCUGCUUUAAUCUAAGAGGAACUCUGAAUUAGUAACCUUGCACAUGUUGUCUUCCCUUGGAAAUGUCACUAAGGGACUCUUCGAAGCAUGGGUGUGGGUCCUUGGUGUAGGUCCUCUAGGUGCAUGAGGUGGCACUUUCCAGAAGCAUGGGUGAACCUCCCAAGGGAGUCCAGAGUCUUUUAUUGGAAUCAAUGGAUGAGAAAAAUAUUGUUUUGCAACUUGAGUGAAUGUGGCCUCCAUGAUCAAAACCUGGACUAGAAAAGCCUGUGGAGUGGCCCUAGAACAGGGCAAGGUAGAGAGGAGAGUUUUCUCCUGCUGUGAAUUUACCACUCAUUCCUGUAUUGUAGCCACAUGCUUUAAUUUUUUUUCUUCUCCCUUUUCCCACAGUGCCCCCUAAAUAUUUCCACUGAAGACUUUUAGAACUUUGGAAUAAGGAAAUUGUAUCUCCAGCUGACAAUAAAAUUUACGAAGCAAAGAAUGCCUCCGUUAAUACUUUCCAAACGUCUUUGUUUUUGAACGAGCAAGAUGCUGAGAACCUUCCAAUUCAGUAACCCUGCCUCUGACAGGCAGCAGAACAGUUAGCAAGGUUGACAGAUAGAUGCAGCCACACGAUGCAAUAAUCCUUGCUGCACUGAACUUUGUAUUUAAACACUUAUUUUAUGUUUAAUUAAUUUCUCCAAAGAGGAAAACUUCCAGGCUGCCUUUGAAGCCGGCUGUUUGUUUAAGAUAUUUUGUUUUAAGAA
rnacentral:lncRNA from 1 species